rnacentral:lncRNA from 1 species
UUUUGUACCUCCCCCCCCUUUCUUACUCUCAUAGGAAUUCCUCAAUUCCAUAUUAAUUGCUUGUUAAUUUUGAAUGACUCUGCUUUUUAAUUAAACCACAAUUUACUGUUUUUUUCCAUCUUACCACCUUUUCUCUACCUGCAUCAAGAAAUCAUUUGAGUUACCUAACUAACAGUAGUUUGGUAGGGGAAGGUAAGUUAAUGGCUUAAUUUCAUGAGUUGCAGAAAAUAAUUUGAUGUUUUUUCCUGGUGAAGAGUGAACUGUUUGAAAGCAGUGUUAGCCAGUGAAGUAUUUACCUACAGUUAAGUCUUUGGAGUAUUGUGUGUGUAAUAAAUGUAGAUGGGGCACUGCAAUUGUUCUAAAGUAAUAAUAUUUGCUGCACCUCGGGUAUUCCAGGUGAAUUUACAAAAAUUUAAAUAGUAUCCUGUUAACAGUCAUUUGAAAGUCAGGAAUUUAAAAAAAACAAAGGAAUAUUUUGGUGUAUUUAGAUAUCCUGGUCUUAGUUUUGGCAAUUGUCAUAAAUAACUUUUUUUAAAACUCUUACAGAGAAUUUGCUAGAUUGAAAUUCAAGCACCUAGCUCAUGUGGUUACAUUUCUGCUGCAUAUUCUGUUGGUGCCUCUGAACAUGCAUUAAAGGCUGGACGCACUCAACGCUGUCCUCAUGAUGCUGUAUGUGCACAAUGGUUGUUAGGCAGCCCAUACACCAGGAGAAGGGACACUCUUCCAUCAGGUAAGAUGACUCAGGCUUACCAGUCAUCCAUGCUAUUUUGAGGGAAAACCCGUUUAGCUUUGACUUUUCUCCUUGAAAUCAGCUAAUACAGGGGUCUGGAGGUGUAGCUCACUGGUAGAGUGCAUGCUUAGCAUGAAUAAGGCCUUGUAUUCAAUCCACAACUCCAAAAAAAAAGCAAAAAAAGAAAUUUGGAAGAGAUUAUGAAUUUUUCAAAACAUAAAUCAGGUAACGUAUACUAAGUACAGCACUCACUAAAAGGAAACCUAGGUUUGUUCUGAUAUUCUUAUGAUCUUUUUCUUGCAUAGCAGACCUCCUUAAUGCCAAGAUAAUUCUCCCAUUUAAAAACACU